AGCCAAGAAAGCUACUGUCAGUACAUCCAUUCCGUACUUUUCCAGUUGCUCAUCCUGAUGACUUCGUGCUGUAUCCAGGGCUAGAGAACCUAUUGCAGCCUGCAGGAAAGAAAACAUUGCUGAGAUGGAGCAGAUUAACCAGCAUACCAGAAGAGAAAGCCAUCCCAAGGCAAGUAUUGAACCCUGUGAUAGCCAAAAUGUCAUCAAUGCUGCCAGCUGCCAUUAGCAAUGUUGGGACGCCCUUCUCCACUCCGUAUCCCCCAGCUUGUAAAAUCAGCAUUGAGGGAACCACCACAGCAGGAAGACUGUCCUAUGUGUAUCUCGCUAAGAGGAAAUGCUGAAUUCCAGCAUGAAGAUUUUCCAAAUUGUGGUAUCAUCUUCUGUCCCUAAAAGCCCCUGUGCUGUGGUUAAAGACUCAGGGAUUGCACCAUCCUUCUUCCUUCUUCAAGUGCUCAGAUCACAAACACAGAAGAGUGAUGAUGCAAGAACCCCUCCACAGCCUGGAAAUGUGACCUUUAAAUUAGCCACAGAGCCAGACGGGAAUGCUUCAAUUACACGAGGAACAACCAUAAACUGCCACACGGAAGAAAAAUGAGUCAAGACUGAAGUUCCCUCGGCAAAAAAAAAGGUGUUGUGGAAUAGAAAGAAAACCAAGCGCACGGAACUGGGCACCCAAGCUCUGUUUAACAACACACAGUCCGUGCUCAUACAAGCAUCAAUGUCUUGGAAAAAAAAGAUGAUAGUAAUCUAGGAAACCAGGCAUUUUUCAAGAAUAAUAAACGCCUAUUUUCCAAAAUACCUAAAGCACUGGCGACUCUCUAGGUUUUAUUUGGUUAAGAAAAAUUAGUUCAUUUGUUCUGGACUAGCUAUACUUAACCUAAGUUUUAUAUAAACAUUAAGCGGUCCCUUAAUCUUAAAUCGAUAGGGGCCAAUAUGGUACAGCUAUAUUUCAGCCAUCUGAUUUUGGUCAAGCAAAACCUUGCCUUCAUUUAUUUACAGAACAUCAUGUUUCACAGUGUGCAGAGGAAAAUUUUUUUUUGUUCACAGAAGCGUUACGGGCUUCAUUGCGAUGUAAAGCAUUGUUUCUGUAGUGCAGUGGGAGUCAUUUCUGCAAUGAAUAUGUCGGCGUUAAAAUGGCAAUGAUUAAAAAAAAAGAAGAGAAAAAAGUGAAAAAGGCACACAGGUUUGAUUUUUUGGGUGGCGGAUUAUUUUUUUUAAUUUGUGUCAACACAAGCAGUAUUCUCUUUCAAGGACUGGGGAUCUCUUCCAUUGCUUGUUUUAGUUUGUCAGUGUGAACUGACAGGGAGUUUGUCGAGAGUGUAAACUCUUCCUGCCAGACCAUGAUAGAGUACAUGUCCUCAAGGUGCUCUGCUCACAAAAUUCAGGAAAUAUCUUUAAGGCAAGGGGGGAAAAUAGUUACAAAAUCAGUUUUCUUCAGGUAUUUUUUGGUCGCUUGCCUAGUCUACAAAUCCAACUGCCAAUAUUAACAUACAAUAGAAACUGUGCUUUCUGUAACGAUAUAAUUUGCAGAUCCUCCGAGACUGAACAGUUCUGUAUUUUUAACAGAACCCAUAAUCCAAUUUUUUUUGAGGGCUGUUGUACACCUUGCCUCACAGAAAGG